CAGCAGUGGGGAAUAUUGGACAAUGGGGGCAACCCUGAUCCAGCCAUGCCGCGUGUGUGAAGAAGGCCCUCGGGUUGUAAAGCACUUUCAGUGAGGAAGAACGCCUGGUGGUUAAUACCCAUCAGGAAAGACAUCACUCACAGAAGAAGCACCGGCUAACUCCGUGCCAGCAGCCGCGGUAAUACGGAGGGUGCGAGCGUUAAUCGGAAUUACUGGGCGUAAAGCGCGCGUAGGUGGCUUGAUAAGCCGGUUGUGAAAGCCCCGGGCUCAACCUGGGAACGGCAUCCGGAACUGUCAAGCUAGAGUGCAGGAGAGGAAGGUAGAAUUCCCGGUGUAGCGGUGAAAUGCGUAGAGAUCGGGAGGAAUACCAGUGGCGAAGGCGGCCUUCUGGACUGACACUGACACUGAGGUGCGAAAGCGUGGGUAGCAAACAGGAUUAGAUACCCUUGUAG
rnacentral:rRNA from 1 species